rnacentral:rRNA from 1 species
CCUACGGGAGGCAGCAGUGAGGAAUAUUGGUCAAUGGGCGCGAGCCUGAACCAGCCAAGUCGCGGGAGGGAAGACGGUCCGAUGGAAUGUAAACCUCUUUUGGCGGGGAGCAAAAGACGCCACGCGUGGCGUUCAGAGAGUACCCGAAGAAAAAGCACAGGCUAAAUCCGUGCCAGCAGCCGCGGUAAUACGGAGGAUGCGAGCGUUAGCCUGAUGUAUUGGGUUGAAAGGGUGCGCAGGCGGAAGAUCAAGUCAGCGGUAAAAUUGAGAGGCUCAACCUCUUCGAGCCGUUGAAACUGGUUUUCUUGAGUGAGUGAGAAGUAUGCGGAAUGCGUGGUGUAGCGGUGAAAUGCAUAGAUAUCACGCAGAACUCCGAUUGCGAAGGCAGCAUACCGGCGCUCAACUGACGCUCAUGCACGAAAGUGUGGGUAUCGAACAGGAUUAGAUACCCUUGUAGUC